rnacentral:rRNA from 1 species
GUUCAAAUUAUUAUGGGUUUAUGGGGAAUGCCUUGGCGUCAAAAGCCGAAGAAGGGCGUAGCAAGUCUGCGAUAAGCCUCGGUUUGCUGACUA